GGAAAAGCUGCCGAUUUAGUUCCCCAACCACCACAAACGUCUGAAUCAACUCCAAACUUGACACCACAAGAAAAAAAUAUUUCUUCAACGGCUCGCAGGGUAAAUGGG